UAGGGUAGUGUCGGUGACUGGGGCUAAGUCGUAACAAGGUAGCAGUAGGUGAACCUGCAGAAGGAUCA
rnacentral:rRNA from 1 species